rnacentral:tRNA from 1 species
GAAGAUGAUAACACUAACCUGCUAAAUUAGUAA